GAUCUCUCUGUAUAGAGCUCUCUCCUUUUGGAGUUUUCUGCUGUGAGCCUAGGUCACAGCUGGAGUUGGGAAACGUGGAGGCUCAGUGUGACAAUACCUUUAUCAGUGCCUACUGCCUGCCUGUAAUUUUUAUAUCCAGCUGUGGUGAAAGCAUUUUCCUAUUAAGAUAUAGGAGGAAGAAGUAUGAAGAAAGGAGGCUUAAGUGACCCUUAGCUGGAAGAGGAAUAGAUGAAAAAUCUCUUGUGCUGUGAUGUAAGGAAUUCCUUCAAUUAUAUUCAUCGUUCCACAGAGAAGAACAAAUGCUGUU